rnacentral:misc_RNA from 1 species
UACGUAGGGGGCAAGCGUUGUCCGGAAUUAUUGGGCGUAAAGCGCGCGCAGGCGGUCCGUUAAGUCUGAUGUGAAAGCCCACGGCUCAACCGGGGAGGGCCAUUUGAAACUGGGAGGCUUGAGUAUAGGAGAGAAGAGUAGAAUUCCAGGUGUAGCGGUGAAAUGCGUAGAGAUGUGGAGGAACACCAGUGGCGAAGGCGACUUUCCGGUCUGUAACUGACGCUGAGGCGCGAAAGCGUGGGGAGCAAACAGG